rnacentral:rRNA from 1 species
GACGAACGCUGGCGGCGUGCCUAACACAUGCAAGUCGAACGAGGUCCAUCCUUCGGGAGAAGACCUAGUGGCGAACGGGUGAGUAACACGUGAGGAACCUGCCCCGAAGACCGGGAUAACCCUCCGAAAGGAGAGCUAAUACCGGAUACCCCCACCGAGCCGCAUGGUUUGGUGAGGAAAUGGAUUCCGCUUCGGGAGGGCCUCGCGGCCUAUCAGCUAGUUGGUGGGGUAACGGCCCACCAAGGCAUCGACGGGUAGCUGGUCUGAGAGGACGAUCAGCCACACUGGGACUGAGACACGGCCCAGACUCCUACGGGAGGCAGCAGUGGGGAAUUUUGGACAAUGGACGCAAGUCUGAUCCAGCCAUGCCGCGUGCGGGAAGAAGGCCUUCGGGUUGUAAACCGCUUUUGUCAGGGAAGAAAUCUUCUGAGUUAAUACCUCGGGAGGAUGACGGUACCUGAAGAAUAAGCACCGGCUAACUA